AAACAUCCUUCAUCACCAAAAUCUUUUUUCAUUUUCAACUUUAUUCGAAAGGGUUACACAACAAAAAGUUUCUUUAUGGAUAGAUAGAAACCAUUUCACAUUGUUGUCCCAAUUAAUUAUGGUUGGAGCAGUUGGAACUUUAGUCAUUAUAGGGCCAAGAGCUGAAAUCUCCAUUUUUCAUAGCCUUGUAUCGACGUACAACACCUCUUUGACUUUAUCAUAUAAUUUCAUAUAAGAAAUAGUUUUCGCAAUAAAAAUAGGAAUUGUUUUUCCUUUGCCAUUCCCUACACAUUUUCAUUUCUACACACCUUCAACCGACUGCUCAUAUUCAACUGAAUAACAAACUAAUAUCCAUACCAUUCGCAGUGUCCAUAAUUGUAAUCCAAUGUAAAAAUUUCAUCAAAUUUCAAACAUUGUACAGUAUUAAUAACGAUAUGUAAGUCCUUACGGAUUGUAGAAAAUGACACGUAAGUCGUUGUGUACAAACGAAAAUCAAAUGUGUGUUUUACAAUAGACCAAUAAAAAAAAAUAGUGAAACAUGCAUUUGCCAACUUACAUUUCACUCUAACUGAUACAAAUAACGGUAAUUAAAAAAGGAUUGGGAAGUAACCCACUUCAAAACUCUAAUCCAAUGUUAAAAAUGAAUUCAAAAUCAUUGUUCACAAAUAAACACCAUAACCAUAUAUACAACAAUAUGAAGAAAUUAUUCAAAAAAUGGACAAAGAAAGUAAUCCAAAAAUUGAAAAUUUAUAACACAAUCUUCUUUUCCAAAUGCCCAAUAAUAAUAUUGUAAGAUUUUAUUAAUCACUUUCAACCAAAUGAGCGUUCAAUGGAAAGGGAAUGUAGAGUUUAUGGUUUCAUUAAGUAUAAAAAAAUGAUGACGAGAAAGAAAUGAAUUGCAUACCUCUAAAGUCGGUUUUUGAAGAGAAAUGGAAGCUAGAAUCAAUUUAAUUAGGGUUAAAUGGGAAUUGAAAUGGAAAUUAGGGCAAUAAUGUCUUUUUGUAUGUAAG
rnacentral:lncRNA from 1 species